UUAAAAAGCUCGUAGUUGAACCUUGGACCUGGCUGAUCUGUCCUCCUAAUCGAGCGCACGGAUUCGGUCGGGUCUUUCCUUCUGGGGAGCCCUAUGCCCUUCACUGGGUGUAGUGGGGAACCAGGACUUUUACCUUGAAAAAAUUAGAGUGUUCAAAGCAGGCCUUUGCUCGAAUACAUUAGCAUGGAAUAAUAGAAUAGGACAUCGGUUCUAUUUUGUUGGUUCCUAGGACCGCUGUAAUGAUUAAUAGGGAUAGUCGGGGG
rnacentral:rRNA from 1 species